ACAGCCGUAGCACACGAGUCAGUCGUACCUAAGCCCUAGGGGAAACCCGAUGCAGAUGCCGGCCUUUAUCUAUGUCAAGUGUCCGUAAAAGCACUGGCCGCGCGUCGGGCGAAAGGGAAUUCCGGUU
rnacentral:rRNA from 1 species